UAAGUUCUGUGAUGAGGCCCUGGAAUGAGCGCUGGCAAAGCGCCCGAGUCAGACUGCGGAAGUAAAAAAUAAAUAAAUAAAUAAAUUA